rnacentral:tRNA from 1 species
GACCGCGUAGCUCAGUUGGUUAGAGCGCCACAUUGACAUUGUGGAGGUCAGGAGUUCGAGCCUCUUCGCGGUCA